rnacentral:rRNA from 1 species
AGCAGCCGCGGUAAUUCCAGCUCCAAUAGCGUAUAUUAAAGUUGUUGCAGUUAAAAAGCUCGUAGUUGAAUUUCGGGAUCAAUAUGUCGGUCGUGCCUUCGGUACGUACUGGCAUCAUUGGUUUCUCCCUUCUGACAAACCAUGAUGUCAUUAAUUUGGUGUUAUGGGGAGUUAGGACUGUUACUUUGAAAAAAUUAGAGUGUUUAAAACAGGCAUUAGCUUGAAUACAUUAGCAUGGAAUAAUGAAAUAGGACGUUUGACCCUAUUUUGUUGGUUUCUUAGGAUCGACGUAAUGAUUAAUAGGGAUAGUUGGGGGCAUUAGUAUUCAAUUGUCAGAGGUGAAAUUCUUGGAUUUAUUGAAGACUAACUACUGCGAAAGCAUUUGCCAAGGAUGUUUUCAUUAAUCAAGAACGAAAGUUAGGGGAUCGAAGACGAUCAGAUACCGUCGUA